rnacentral:tRNA from 1 species
GAGGGUAUAGCUCAGUGGUAAAAUGUGUGCUUAGCAUGCAUGAAGUCCUGGGUUCAAUUCCUGGUACCUCA